rnacentral:lncRNA from 1 species
UGCGGAGAUGCCGCGCGCAAACUUCCCGGGGCUCCCGGGCCAGGCGGCGCCACCCGGCCGGGGCCGCGGAGGGAGGAAGCGCCCAGCCCAGGGAGAAAGCAGGGAUGUUACUCUUGGAGUAUGUGAAGACAGUUUGCUUUUUGACAAGCGAGCAAGCGGGCGCCCAGAUUUCUACAGCCUUUGGAGUCUCCCCGGAGGGAAAGGCAGAUAGAGCAAACCUCGGACUGGGGAGCCAUCCUGGAAGGGCUCUGCGCAGGGGAACCGCCCCUCCCUUUGGCCCCAGACUCUCCUGCCUGGGGCUCCGGUGGUACCACUAAAGGAUUGCCUCAAGCUCUGAGGAUGAAACUGGGGUUUAGGGUUCCGGAAACCUCUCGAAUAACAACUGUGGGAGAGAAAGAGACUCUGCCAACAUUUCUUCCCGGCCUCACAACGGAAAGGACUGUUUUCUUAAAGCUGUUGACUUCAGUCACAGAGCCAGU